rnacentral:rRNA from 1 species
UUGACCUACGGGGCGCAGCAGUGGGGAAUAUUGGGCAAUGGGCGCAGGCCUGACCCAGCAACGCCGCGUGAAGGAAGAAGGCUUUCGGGUUGUAAACUUCUUUUGACAGGGAAGAGUAGAAGACGGUACCUGUCGAAUAAGCCACGGCUAACUACGUGCCAGCAGCCGCGGUAAUACGUAGGUGGCAAGCGUUGUCCGGAUUUAUUGGGUUUAAAGGGUGCGUAGGCGGGCUUUUAAGUCAGCGGUAAAAAUUCGGGGCUCAACCCCGUCCGGCCGUUGAAACUGGGGGCCUUGAGUGGGCGAGA